rnacentral:tRNA from 2 species
AACCUUAUAUUCAAAUAUGAUUUUAAAUUGCAAAUUUAAAGGUGAAUGUGUUUUCUAAGGGAU